AGUGAACGCUGGCGGUAGGCCUAACACAUGCCAGUCGAACGGCAGCACAGUAAGAGCUUGCUCUUACGGGUGGCGAGUGGCGGACGGGUGAGGAAUACAUCGUACUCUACUUUUUCGUGGGGGAUAACGUAGGGAAACUUACGCUAAUACCGCAUACGACCUACGGGUGAAAGCAGUGGAUCUUCUGACCUUGCGCGAUUGAAUUAGCCGAUGUCGGAUUAGCUAGUUGGCGGGGUAAAGGCCCACCAAGGCGCCGAUCCGUAGCUGGUCUGAGAGGAUGAUCAGCCACACUGGAACUGAGACACGGUCCAGACGCCUACGGGAGGCAGCAGUGGGGAAUAUUGGACAAUGGGCGCAAGCCUGAUCCAGCCAUACCGCGUGGGUGAAGAAGGCCUUCGGGUUGUAAAGCCCUUUUGUUGGGAAAGAAAAGCAGCAGGUUAAUACCCCGCUGUUCUGACGGUACCCAAAGAAUAAGCACCGGCUAACUUCGUG
rnacentral:rRNA from 1 species